ensembl:lncRNA
GUGUGUGUGUGUGUGUGUGUGUGUGUGUGUGUGUGUGUGUGUGUGUGUGUGUGUGUGUGUGUAUGAGUGAGUGAGUGAGUGCAUAUGGAUAUUUUACAUGUGGCACCCCUAGUAUUGCUACUGACAUUAACCAUAAACAAAUGAAAGAUAAUAAUAAGUACUAAGAACAUGAUUUACCCUGGGUGGUCAUGACAUAGGCUGGGUGGUCAUGACAUAGGCUGGGUGGUCAUGACUUAGGCUGGGUGGUCAUGACUUAGGCUGGGUGGUCAUGACAUAGGCUGGGUGGUCAUGACAUAGGCUGGGUGGUCAUGACUUAGGCUGGGUGGUCAUGACAUAGGCUGGGUGGUCAUGACUUAGGCUGGGUGGUCAUGACAUAGGCUGGGUGGCCAUGACAUAGGCUGGGUGGUCAUGACAUAGGCUGGGUGGUCAUGACAUAGGCUGGGUGGUCAUGACUUAGGCUGGGUGGUCAUGACAUAGGCUGGGUGGUCAUGACUUAGGCUGGGUGGCCAUGACAUAGGCUGGGUGGUCAUGACUUAGGCUGGGUGGCCAUGACAUAGGCUGGGUGGUCAUGACUUAGGCUGGGUGGUCAUGACAUAGGCUGGGUGGUCAUGGCAUAGGCUGGGUGGUCAUGACUUAGGCUGGGUGGUAAUGACAUUGUCUAGGUAGUGAUUUGUGAAAGUAACAUUGUGUGAGCCCCAAAUAGCAGUUUAGGUUACAGAGUGCAAACGAGUAAGUGAGGAUUACUAGCAGUCUUAUUUUGUGUUUUAAACAUAUUGCCUAAUUAUAGUGCAUGUUUAAAGAUGUUUCCUGUCAGGCAGAGGCUGUGGCCUAACAACAGCCUGAAGGCCUAUUGAUCCUUGUUUUCUCCAACCAGACCAGGUUGUUUUACCAUGUUGCCAUAGGCGACAGUAUCAGCGCUGGUUGAGGUCUCCUCUGUGCUACCGGUCCUACUUCAUUCCACCCCCUGUCUGAUGUGACAGAUACAGGCCUACUGUGUGAGCUAACGAGGGUAAACAUCAGUCAGAGUGCACAGACCACAUUCUUCUACAUUAUCUCACAGGCAGCCAUGCUUGACUGAGACAAAUGUUCCUCUGUGGAGGACACAGUCUGUGUGUGUGUGUGUGUGUGUGUUAUGUAAUACAGUGUUGACAGACAUUACCUAAACAAAAGUGACAUUUACACAUACUCUCAAUCCACCUAAUACCUGGGAGCUCCUGUCCCCUAGCUGCAGAGAUCCAGAUAAGUAGCCCUACCAGCCAGCCUUAGCGUCUCACCGGCCCCAGCCUCCAGCCUCCAGCCCCAGCCCCAGCCCCAGCCCCAGCUUCCAGCCCCAGCCUCCAGCCUCCAGCCCCAGCC